rnacentral:tRNA from 1 species
GCUUUUAAAGGAUAAUAGUCUUCCCUUGGCCUUAGGCGCCAAUAUCUCUUGGUGCAAAUCCAAGUAAAAGCA